GUGGCACCGGAUUCUGGGGGGUGGGGUCGUUCGCAGUCAUUUAGGGUUGCCGGCGACGAAGAUAGUUGAGCAGGUGGGCAGUGUUCCAGCGCUAGGAGGGAAGGCUUGACACCUUCUUUAGGUAGCGAGGGCUGGGAGAAGUUGGGUGCCAAGACCACGCCGACAUCUGCUGCCACAGACUCUAGCAGUCGGACUUACGUUGUGGAUUUACCCGCCGUCCUCGCAAGCUGCACCCUGGAGCGUUGGACAGUGUCGGGAGCUCAGACCCCGGGGAGGGGGUCACAUCAACUGGGACAGCUAAGUACCGCUGCUUGUUUGUAUCUAUGCUGGACAGCUGGUUUUAUCGUGAAGGAACUUGGCCAUAGUGUUUUAUUGUUGAUUAUGUUAAUAAAGGAUGUCUUUUUAUAAGUCGUUGCCUACUGGUGUUUUUGGGUUCUGACUGGAGGGCAAGAUAUUCUGCCCGUGCUCCCACUGAAACUUAUACAAUACUUUUUAGUUUAUUAUUGCUUAGUAAUACACUAAGUAACGUUAAUAAUGGGACUCUUAUUGUAAAGUCUUACCACCUAAUGAGAUCUUGUACAAUCUGUUUUGUGACUUUUCAGUAAUUUUAAAUUGAUCAUUUUAAUUUUUAAUUGUCGUGCUUUUAUUGUGAACGGCGUGAGCAGGAAGAAGCAAUGAACUCUGCACAUGCGCAGAACAGAUGUAUCCACAUUAGCGCUGUCAACUCAGACCAAACCGAACUAGUGUUUUGUCGCUCAUCGCCUUUGCCACAGAAAGGUAACACGUCCUUGUUAGUUGGUGUAAAUGCCUGAGGUGAACAUAACGACGCUGUGUGUGCGAGUGCGUAUGAAGUCAGUUCUCACAAAGUUGUGUGUGUGUGUGUGUGUGUGUGUGUUGCUUCAGUGUUUAGGUAUAAAAACAAGUAAAAAGUAAAGUGAAAUUGUUUGUUCUGACCCAGUUUUACACAGUUCUGCUCUGAUCUUCUGCCUUUAAGGGCUAGUAACCUGGUAACCAGUUCACAACCCGCACCAGACAUGAGCAACAGAGCAGAGAUAAGAUUUUGCAAGUGUUUCAUUAUCUCAUUAUACACAGUUAGGGCCAAUAUCGUUAGCGCGCGCGUGUGGUUUUCUGUACCCUGAGGAGAGUCACAUAGGUUCUUAAAACAGACCAGGUUCUGGUCUCUGGACCCUGGCUGAGCAGCUGUCACAUUGGUACCAACCUGGAUCAGGGAUCAAAGCUCAAUGGCAAACGCACAUUAUAGAGAUCCCUACUUCACCCUCAGCAGCCAGUCGCCAUCAUCAGUAAAGUCCGCUGGUAGAGAACCAGAACCACCUGCAGAGUUUGGGUCAGACUGGCUGACCGUUAGAAAGAGACCCAGAUAAAACAAACCGUUCUCUAUCAGCAGGUCUGGUGGAAGGGACACACCCUGCAGAGUUGCACAGCUGAGUCAGAUUAAAGACCAAUCAGGAGGUUCUGGCUGAGCUCCACUUGGUCUCCAUGCCAAUGAAAACAGUUGCUGUCCUUGGGGGUGGGAUCAGUGGUUUGGCUGCAGCCUACUACCUGUGCAAGAGCCCUCAGGUUGCCAAGGUGAUUGUUCUGGAGUCCAGUGAUCGUUUUGGAGGUUGGCUGAGGACUUUAAGGAGGCUCGAUGGGACCUUGUUUGAACUUGGACCCAGAGGGGUCCGUCCCGCUGGAGCAGUGGGACGCAACACUCUCAACAUGGUGGAGGAUCUGGGUCUGAGUGCAGAGGUUUUACCUGUUUCCUACAGUCAUGUGUCCUCCAAGAACAGAUAUCUGUAUGUCAACGGAAAACUUCACAGGAUGCCUUCAGGAAUAAGUGGGAUUCUCCGUACGGUCCCACCGUUUUCCCGCCCCCUCCUGUUCAGCCUGGCCUCAGAGAUCCUAGUGAAGAGAGGAAAAGAAGAUGACGAAUCCAUCUAUUCUUUUGUUUCUAGGAGGCUUGGAAAGGAGCUGGCGGACAUAGCAGUGGAUAGUCUUUGUCGUGGUGUGUUUGCGGGGGACUGCAGGAACCUGAGUGUUCGCUCUUGCUUCCCUCCGCUCUUCAACGCCGAACAGAAGAGAGGUUCUCUGACUUUGGGGCUUCUGCUGGGCUCAGGCCCAACACCUCAGAUCUCAGCUGGACCUUUAGCUCAGAGGUCUAUGAAAGAGUCAUGGGCACAGUGGUCUCUGAAGAGGGGAGUGGAGGCUCUUCCAGAAUCCCUCAGUGAUUACCUGCAGCGCAGCGGAAGAGCGCAGCUCCAGAAGGAGGCGGCCGUUAAACACAUUCAGCCAUCAGCGUCUGGUUGGAAGGUCCAUUUGGAGGAUGGAGUAAUAUCAGCUGAUCAUAUAAUCUCUGCUCUACCUGCUAAAGCCCUCUCCUGUGUCCUCCCCCCCACCUGUCAGUCCCUAAUCCAGCAGCUACAGGACAUCUCCUCGGUAACAGUUGCUGUGGUGAAUCUAGAGUACGAGGGGUCCGUCCUGCCAGUGAAGGGUUUUGGCCACCUUGUGCCUUCAUCAGAAGAUAAAGGCCUGCUGGGGGUGGUCUACGAUUCUGUUCCUUUCCCUGAACACAACAGACCCAGCGGACAGACGACCAGGCUGACGGUGAUGAUGGGUGGGGCCUGGUUCCAGGAAGAGUUUGGAGCCCCGGAGACGGUGACCACAGAGCACCUGUUGGCUCGAGCUACUGAAUCGGUGAGCUGUCAUUUGGGAGUGACUUCAGCACCCGGCUGGACACACGUAGCUCUUCACAAGGACUGCAUACCUCAGUAUCGCCUUGGACACUUUCGGACAGUUGAGUCGAUGCGAAGCUUCAUAAAGAAGAAGAAUCUGUCUCUGUCUCUGAUUGGCUCCUCGUUUGAUGGAGUUUCUGUGAAUGACGUCAUCUUUAGUGGACGAACAGCUGUAGAGGACUUGUUUGGCGGUGGAGUUUGACAUGGUUCUCGUUCACAAACCAGAGGCAUUGCUUCCAGCUGUGAUCAUGGAAGUGGAGAGAGGGCUUUAUGCUGCAAUAUAUUUUUCUGCCUCUAGAUUUGACAACAAACUCCAGAUUUUUGCUUUGAAUACAUACCAAUUUAUUUAUCCGUAAAAGCAUUUUGCAAUGAGCUAAUCUAGAAGUGAGUGAGAGCAGAUGGUGGAAGUAAGAACAAAGGCAGGGGUGUCAUUAACCCUUUAGUUUAUUACAGGAUGUAAAAUAAGUCAAAACAGUUUCUAGCUUUCUCAAAAUCUUCUGACCCACAAGGAAGUCCCAACUAACUCAACAUGACACACGAAACCUAAACUAACCUCUGAUCACACUUACGCCUCAAGCAUCAUGUCUGAUGGGACUGCCAAAAGGCCAGUAAUCCCUAACGCGCACGCACGCACGCACGCACGCACGCACGCACGCACACACACACACACACACACACACACACACACGGAACAUUAUCUGAGGCCGAGUUUCUUCUUCUCUUUCUGUUUCUUGCGAACCACUUCAAUAUUUCGGUCCUUCCACAUGCUCUUCCUCAGCUUGAUGGGGCGACUCCCAACAUACUUCCCUGGAGAAAAACAAAAACCCACUCAGAUUGAACACGUCCCCAGGACUCCUGGGAUUAGUGUGGUGUCACCUGACUCACCGUUCAUCUCUCUCAUGGCUCUGACGUAGUCGUUUGGAUCUUUGAAACUGACAAAGCCGUAGCCUUUGGUCUUUCCGGUCCGUUUGUCUCGAACCACCUAGAAAUGAUCAUUUCAUGAAUCCAUGGAAUCACAUUUGUUUACCCACAAACAGGAUUAAACCCUUUAUCUCUUUUCUAACUUGCCUUUGUUGCAAUAAAGCUCUCCAAUUCUAAUUUUCAGGUCACUUUCUGUAACUGGAAAGGAGAGCUGCACACCCAUCCUACUGAAGCUUCUUUGAUGGAUCCAUUCCUGUUUACGUUCUCUGCUCUUUUAAGCUUUCCAUAGAGUUCAGUUCCUGCCAGCAGGGAUUACCUGACUCCCACUCCAGCAGACUGGCAUCCUCCCAGCUGGACCCUGCUGCUGUACGGAUGCACUUCUUCACCUUUUCGUUCUUGCCUUUCUUCUUGUCCUCUGUAGAACUUUCCACAGGCUGGAACAGAUAAACAAUAAAAAAAAAUAAAAAUAAAAACACACACACAAACUUGUGAAUUCAUAUUCUCAAAUUUUUACAGUUCUGAUGGCCUGUUGUGAAAUUUUCACAUUAGAAAUAAUCACUAGAGAUGUAAUGUAAUGACCAUUGCCACUGGAGCUAACUAAAGGGCUGGCUCUACUCCACCCAGGUGUGGUAUAAAGUGUUGACAUCUGGGUAGCCUGGAUUUUUUUUUUUACGUGCUCAACCGGUUGUUUACUUCGGCCCAAUUCCCAAGGCGGUCUGCUUCAGGCUGAACUGGUCCAACACACCCACUGCCGACUGAUUGGCCGGCUCAAAUUCACGCCUACCAUUGGGGGAGCUGAUUGGCGGGUAGAAUCUGCCAGCGGGGGCUUCAAUUCAUUAUCACUCCUGAUUCUGAGGAGUGAACAUAGACUCUGACUAAAGCUGUUUCUCUGUCUCUGUCUGCUGUGAGGAGCAUGCGCUCGCGCUGGGCCUGAAUCUGAAGGCGGAAACAGACUCAAGAGUUUUGUUUUAGUGAAUAAUACAUCUCGUCACCACUGAUAGAUGUUUUCAUCACACAAUUCAGAUAACAAUAUGUUAUAAUCACCUCAAUGUGAGGGGGCUCCGGCUCAGGCCUGUUUGGACCAAUCACAGAGUUGCUCUCAUCACUCUCCUUCUUGUCAAGUAGGCCUGCCGCCAAUACUGCAGCCUGCUGCUUAGCAACCCGUGCUGCCAGUUCUUCCUGAUGGACACACACACACACACACACACACUCACAGUCACUUCCCAUGUGGCAGUGUUUAGUUAUUUUAGAUGCAAAACUUCAGAUAAACAUGUUUAGAUGUUGAUCAGAGUGCAGACACCAUUCUGGCUUGUCUCUGGGCCUGAGGAUCAACUCUCUUAUGUCCAACCGUCACAGGUGGAGCAGAGUACACCGUUGGUGCUGCCUGGAUGAUGGAUGGCGUUGGUUUGAGGGAGGGCGGGCCCACCGAUCUUGGAGGGCCUGGCAUCAUCGGGACAAUGUCACCAACCUGAGAACAACACCAGAACAACUAAAUAAAUGAUGCAUACUCCGCAA